rnacentral:rRNA from 1 species
CUUCGGGGGUGUAUAAAGUGGCGAACGGGUGCGUAACAGGUGGAUAAUCUGCCUCACGGCGGGGGAUAACGGCUGGAAACGGCCGCUAAUACCGCGUACACCGCAUGAAACGCAUGUUUCGUGCGGAAAAGGAGCGUUUGCUCCACCGAGAGAUGAGUCCGCCCCCCAUUAGCUAGUUGGUGAGAUAAAAGCUCACCAAGGCUUCGAUGGGUAGCCGAACUGAGAGGUUGAUCGGCCACACUGGAACUGAGACACGGUCCAGACACCUACGGGUGGCAGCAGUAGGGAAUAUUGCGCAAUGGGCGAAAGCCUGACGCAGCCAUGCCGCGUGGAGGAUGAAGGCCUUCGGGUCGUAAACUCCUUUUCUGAGGGAAGAACACCCAAGAGAGGAAAUGCUCUUGGUCUGACGGUACCUCAGGAAUAAGCAACGGCUAACUCCGUGCCAGCAGCCGCGGUAAUACGGAGGUUGCAAGCGUUGUUCGGAAUUACUGGGCGUAAAGGGAGCGCAGGCGGUUUGGUAAGUCUGAAGUGGAAUCCCAGGGCUCAACCCUGGACGUGCCUUGGAUACUGCCAAACUUGAGUAUGUGAGAGGAAAGCGGAAUUCCAGGUGUAGCGGUGAAAUGCGUAGAUAUCUGGAGGAACACCGGUGGCGAAAGCGGCUUUCUGGCACAAUACUGACGCUGAGGCUCGAAAGCGUGGGGAGCGAACGGGAUUAGAUACCCCGGUAGUCCACGCCGUAAACGUUGUGCACUAGGUGUGGGAGGUUAUUGACCCCUUCCGUGCCGCAGCUAACGCAUUAAGUGCACCGCCUGGGGAGUACGGUCGCAAGACUGAAACUCAAAGGAAUUGACGGGGGCCCGCACAAGCGGUGGAGCAUGUGGUUUAAUUCGAGGCAACGCGAAGAACCUUACCCAGGCUUGACAUCCCGAUCAUAUCUUAUGGAAACAUAGGAGUCAGUUCGGCUGGAUCGGUGACAGGUGUUGCAUGGCUGUCGUCAGCUCGUGUCGUGAGAUGUUGGGUUAAGUCCCGCAACGAGCGCAACCCUUGUCCUUAGUUACCAGCACGUUAUGGUGGGCACUCUAGGGAGACUGCCGGCGAUAAGCCGGAGGAAGGUGGGGACGACGUCAAGUCAUCACGGCCCUUAUGCCUGGGGCUACACACGUGCUACAAUGGUCGGUACAGUGGGUCGCGAUACCGCAAGGUGGAGCCAAUCCCAAAAAGCCGGCCUCAGUUCGGAUUGGAGUCUGCAACUCGACUCCAUGAAGUCGGAAUCGCUAGUAAUCGCGUAUCAGCUACGACGCGGUGAAUACGUUCCCGGGCCUUGUACACACCGCCCGUCACAUGACCCGAGUUGGGUGCACUCGAAGUCACUGGCUCAACCCGUAAGGGAGAGAGGUGCCGAAGGUGUGCUUGGUAAGGGGGAUGAAGUCGUAACAAGGUA